rnacentral:rRNA from 1 species
UACGUAGGGGGCAAGCGUUGUCCGGAAUUAUUGGGCGUAAAGAGCGUGUAGGCGGCCAGAUAAGUCCGCUGCGAAAUCUCGAGGCUCAACUUCGAGCUGUCGGUGGAAACUAUCUGGCUAGAGUCCGGAAGAGGAGAAUGGAAUUCCUGGUGUAGCGGUGAAAUGCGCAGAUAUCAGGAAGAACACCCGUGGCGAAGGCGGUUCUCUGGGACGGUACUGACGCUGAGACGCGAAAGCGUGGGGAGCGAACAGG